ACCCUGCUGACGGACUGAACGGCAACCGAUAGCGAGAAUCGGGCAGGGU
rfam:Bacteroides sp. CAG:714 genomic scaffold, scf159